UUGAACGCUGGCGGAAUGCUUUACACAUGCAAGUCGAGCGGCAGCGCGGCCUUCGGGCUGGCGGCGAGCGGCGAACGGGUGAGUAAUGCAUCGGAACAUGCCCAGUCGUGGGGGAUAACACUUCGAAAGAAGUGCUAAUACCGCAUACGUCCUGAGGGGGAAAGCGGGGGAUCGCAAGACCUCGCGCGAUUGGAGUGGCCGAUGUCAGAUUAGCUAGUUGGUGGGGUAAAGGCCUACCAAGGCGACGAUCUGUAGCUGGUCUGAGAGGAUGAUCAGCCACACUGGGACUGAGACACGGCCCAGACUCCUACGGGAGGCAGCAGUGGGGAAUUUUGGACAAAGGGGGCAACCCUGAUCCAGCCAUUCCGCGUGAGUGAAGAAGGCCUUCGGGUUGUAAAGCUCUUUCGGCAGGAACGAAACGGUGGGCUCUAACAUAGUCCGCUAAUGACGGUACCUGAAGAAGAAGCACCGGCUAACUACGUG
rnacentral:rRNA from 1 species